UACGUAGGGUGCAAGCGUUGUCCGGAAUUAUUGGGCGUAAAGAGCUCGUAGGCGGUUCGUCGCGUCGGCUGUGAAACCUGAGGCUCAACCUCAGGCCUGCAGGUCGAUACGGGCGGACUUGAGUACUGGCAGGGAGACUGGAAUUCCUGGUGUAGCGGUGAAAUGCGCAGAUAUCGAGGAGGAACACCGGUGGCGAAGGCGGGUCUC
rnacentral:rRNA from 1 species